rnacentral:RNase_P_RNA from 1 species
UGAGUCGGCUGGGCGACCGCGGUGGGCGAGAGCCCAUCGAGGAAAGUCCGGACUCCACAGGGCAGGGUGGUUGCUAACAGCAACCCGGGGCGACCCGCGGGAAAGUGCCACAGAAAACAGACCGCCCGGUGGGUUCUCCACCGGGUAAGGGUGAAAAGGUGGUGUAAGAGACCACCAGCACCCCGGGUGACCGGGGUGGCUUGGUAAACCCCACCCGGAGCAAGGCCAAGAGGGCACCGGUAGGUGCCUGCGCGGACGUUCGAGGGUGGCCCGCCCGAGUCCGCGGGUAGGCCGCUUGAGCUUGUCGGUGACGGCAAGCCCAGAUGGAUGGUCGCCGAACGGGACUGCCGCAAGGCGCCCGGGAACAGAAUCCGGCUUACAGGCCGACUCAUCCG